AAAGGCCCGUCCUCGCGAAAGGCGCCGCGGGUCUCGCAAGGGGGGGGCCGCGCGGCUGCAGUGCCGUUCCCGGCCGUGUCCGCCAGGCGGCGACUGCGAGGCAGCGCCCGGCGGUCGGGGCGGGCUGGGAAGCGGCGCCUGCGCAGAGCGAGGCGUUGGCCGGGCCGGGCCUGGAGCGCUCGGGGCCGCCGGGCAGGGCAGUGGCCGGGGAUCGGCCGGGGCGGGGGGUGGAGCGUAAGAGCAGGUUUUAGGGAAGAAACGCCUGUGGUGAGGAAAAAUCGUUGACUUGGGUCCAGCGAUGCCAAAUGUGUUGGGGUGUGAGCAGCCAAAGCAACAGGCUCUAGCCCCACCGACCGGCGCUGGGGGCUCCUGGUGCUGCCCGUGGGGUGGGAGGACAAAUGGUUGGUAAUUGCUUCUGAUCUGUGGAGAAUCUCCUUUGGAAUGAUCAAGCAGAGGGUGUAUCAAGGCAGGCAGAGCAUUUCUUUUGGCUCUUUUUUUUUUUCUGGUUUGUCAUUUUCUGUUUGGCUUCAAUGCAUUUUGUGUGCUCCUGUUCAGGUGCUGGGGGGAGGGAGCUGCCAAGGACAAACUGGGAGGGUGUUUGCAAAGGAAGGGGGUAGAAGGAGCUCUUGAUGUGCUUUUUUUACUUCUUCAUCCCACAGAAUUGCCACGAGAGGAAAUACCUCAGAGGGGCUUCCCUCCAGAUAAGCCCUGAAUAUGCCAGGAGGUUUCAGCCAGGAGAAAGGAGCUGUGGAAGAAAAGCAGCCUAAAAAUAGCCAGUGGGGAUCAUCAGGUUUUCCAACCAAGAAAAACAAGGAGAGAGAUGAGGGAAUCACGUUCCAAUUACUAAUGACUUGGUGGGUGCAGGAAUGAUUUGUGUGUGUUUUCCAGUCCCUUUUGAUUCCUGGGAUGAUUUUAAAAUGAUGGCUUUAGCAAUCAACUAAAUUGGAGAUGUUGUUUUUGAGAGGAAAUGAUGCCAAAUAAA